rnacentral:rRNA from 1 species
AGAUUGAACGCUGGCGGCAUGCCUUACACAUGCAAGUCGAACGCGAAAGGGGGGCAACCCCCGAGUAGAGUGGCGAACGGGUGAGUAAUACAUCGGAACGUAUCCAGUAGCGGGGGAUAACCUCUCGAAAGAGAGGCUAAUACCGCAUACGACCUACGGGUGAAAGAGGGGGAUCGCAAGACCUCUCACUAUUGGAGCGGCCGAUGUCGGAUUAGCUAGUUGGCGGGGUAACGGCCCACCAAGGCUACGAUCCGUAGCUGGUCUGAGAGGACGACCAGCCACACUGGAACUGAGACACGGUCCAGACUCCUACGGGAGGCAGCAGUGGGGGAAUUUGGACAAGUGGGACGCAAGCCUGAUCCAGCCAUGCCGCGUGAGUGAAGAAGCCGUUGGUGUAAGCUCUUCGCUGGACGAAAGGUCCGUAGUAACACCACGGAUCCAUGAACGUACAGACAGAAGAGCACCGGCUAACACGUGCCAGCACGCCGACGUAA